rnacentral:rRNA from 1 species
CCCUUAGAGUUUGAUCAUGGCUCAGAUUGAACGCUGGCGGCAGGCCUAACACAUGCAAGUCGAGCGGAAACGAUCCUAGCUUGCUAGGAGGCGUCGAGCGGCGGACGGGUGAGUAACGCGUGAGAAUCUACCCAUGAGUGGGGGACAACCCGGGGAAACUCGGGCUAAUACCGCAUACGCCCUACGGGGUAAAGCAGGGGACCUUCGGGCCUUGCGCUGAUGGAUGAGCUCGCGUCGGAUUAGCUUGUUGGUGAGGUAAAGGCUCACCAAGGCGACGAUCCGUAGCUGGUCUGAGAGGAUGAUCAGCCACACCGGGACUGAGACACGGCCCGGACUCCUACGGGAGGCAGCAGUGGGGAAUCUUGGACAAUGGGGGCAACCCUGAUCCAGCCAUGCCGCGUGUGUGAAGAAGGCCUUCGGGUUGUAAAGCACUUUCAGCAGGGAGGAAGGCUUACCCCUAAUACGGGUGAGUACUUGACGUUACCUGCAGAAGAAGCACCGGCUAAUUUCGUGCCAGCAGCCGCGGUAAUACGAAAGGUGCAAGCGUUAAUCGGAAUUACUGGGCGUAAAGCGCGCGUAGGCGGUGUGUUAAGUCGGAUGUGAAAGCCCAGGGCUCAACCUUGGAAUUGCAUCCGAUACUGGCACGCUAGAGUGCAGUAGAGGGAGGUGGAAUUUCCGGUGUAGCGGUGAAAUGCGUAGAGAUCGGAAGGAACACCAGUGGCGAAGGCGGCCUCCUGGACUGACACUGACGCUGAGGUGCGAAAGCGU